rnacentral:rRNA from 1 species
CCUACGGGAGGCAGCAGUGAGGAAUAUUGGUCAAUGGGCGUAAGCCUGAACCAGCCAAGUCGCGUGAGGGACGACUGCCCUAUGGGUUGUAAACCUCUUUUAUCAGGGAAGAAUGCUUGCUACGUGUAGCCUUAUGUCUGUACCUUAUGAAUAAGGAUCGGCUAACUCCGUGCCAGCAGCCGCGGUAAUUCGGAGGAUUCGAGCGUUAUCCGGAUUUAUUGGGUUUAAAGGGUGCGUAGGCGGUCUUUAAAGUUAGCGGUAAAAUUCCGGGGCUCAACCUUGGAUUGCCGUUGAAACUGGCGGGCUUGAGUGGGUGAGAGGUAGGCGGAAUGAGUGGUGUAGCGGUGAAAUGCUUAGAUAUCACGCAGAACUCCGAUUGCGAAGGCAGCAUACCAG